rnacentral:rRNA from 1 species
AUUGAACGCUGGCGGCAGGCUUAACACAUGCAAGUCGAGCGGGGGAAGGUAGCUUGCUACCGGACCUAGCGGCGGACGGGUGAGUAAUGCUUAGGAAUCUGCCUAUUAGUGGGGGACAACAUCUCGAAAGGGAUGCUAAUACCGCAUACGUCCUACGGGAGAAAGCAGGGGAUCUUCGGACCUUGCGCUAAUAGAUGAGCCUAAGUAGGAUUAGCUAGUUGGUGGGGUAGAGGCCUACCAAGGCGACGAUCGGUAGCGGGUCUGAGAGGAUGAUCCGCCACACUGGGACUGAGACACGGCCCAGACUCCUACGGGAGGCAGCAGUGGGGAAUAUUGGACAAUGGGGGGAACCCUGAUCCAGCCAUGCCGCGUGUGUGAAGAAGGCCUUAUGGUUGUAAAGCACUUUAAGCGAGGAGGAGGCUACUCUAGUUAAUACCUAGGGAUAGUGGACGUUACUCGCAGAAUAAGCACCGGCUAACUCUGUGCCAGCAGCCGCCGCAGUAA